GUGGAUUAGAUACCCCGGUAGUCCUAGCCGUAAACGGUGAUCACUAGGUGUUGGAGGCAUCGACCCCUCCAGUGCCGCAGCUAACGCAUUAAGUGAUCCGCCUGGGGAGUACGGCCGCAAGGUUGAAACUCAAAGGAAUUGACGGGGGCCCGCACAAGCGGUGGAGCAUGUGGUUUAAUUCGACGCAACGCGAAGAACCUUACCCAGACUUGACAUGCAUCGGACCGGUGUGGAAACACACCUUCCCUUCGGGGCCGGUGCACAGGUGCUGCACGGUUGUCGACAGCU
rnacentral:rRNA from 1 species